GGCUAGAGUUUGAUCAUGGCUCAGGAUGAACGCUGGCGGCGUGCCUAACACAUGCAAGUCGAACGGAGUUGUUUGAGGAAAUCCUUCGGGAUGGAAUCUUCCAACUUAGUGGCGGACGGGUGAGUAACGCGUGAGCAAUCUGCCUUUCAGAGGGGGAUAACAGCCGGAAACGGCUGCUAAUACCGCAUAAUGCAUCGAAUUCGCAUGUUUUUGAUGCCAAAGAUUUUAUCGCUGAAAGAUGAGCUCGCGUCUGAUUAGCUAGUUGGCGGGGUAACGGCCCACCAAGGCGACGAUCAGUAGCCGGACUGAGAGGUUGAACGGCCACAUUGGGACUGAGACACGGCCCAGACUCCUACGGGAGGCAGCAGUGGGGAAUACUGCGCAAUGGGGGCAACCCUGACGCAGCAACGCCGCGUGAUUGAUGAAGGUCUUCGGAUUGUAAAAAUCUUUAAUCAGGGACGAAACAAAUGACGGUACCUGAAGAAUAAGCUCCGGCUAACUACGUGCCAGCAGCCGCGGUAAUACGUAGGGAGCAAGCGUUAUCCGGAUUUACUGGGUGUAAAGGGCGUGUAGGCGGGCUUGUAAGUUGGAAGUGAAAUCUCGGGGCUUAACCCGAAACUGCUUUCAAACUGCGAGUCUUGAGUGAUGGAGAGGCAGGCGGAUUCCCAGUGUAGCGGUGAAAUGCGUAGAUAUUGGGAGGACACCAGGUGGCGNNCGNUGCUGGACAUUAACUGACGCUGAGGCGCGAAGCGUGGGGAGCAACNGAUUAGGAUACCCUGGUAGUCCACGCCGUAACGAUGGANACUAAGUGUGGGAGNAUUGAC
rnacentral:rRNA from 1 species